UGGUAGUNCACGCCGUAAACGAUGAGUGCUAGGUGUUAGGCCCUUUCCGGGGCUUAGUGCCGGAGCUAACGCAAUAAACACUCCGCCUGGGGAGUACGACCGCAAGGUUGAAACUCAAAGGAAUUGACGGGGGCCCGCACAAGCGGUGGAGCAUGUGGUUUAAUUCGAAGCAACGCGAAGAACCUUACCAGGUCUUGACAUCCCGAUGCUAUUCUUAGAGAUAGGAAGUUACUUCGGUACAUCGGAGACAGGUGGUGCAUGGUUGUCGUCAGCUCGUGUCGUGAGAUGUUGGGUUAAGUCCCGCAACGAGCGCAACCCUUAUUGUUAGUUGCCAUCAUUAAGUUGGGCACUCUAGCGGGACUGCCGGUAAUAAACCGGAGGAAGGUGGGGAUGACGUCAAAUCAUCAUGCCCCUUAUGACCUGAGCUACACACGUGCUACAAUGGUCGGUACAACGAGUUGCGAGCCGGUGACGGCAAGCUAAUCUCUGAAAGCCGAUCUCAGUUCGGAUUGGAGGCUGCAACUCGCCUCCAUGAAGUCGGAAUCGCUAGUAAUCGCGGAUCAGCACGCCGCGGUGAAUACGUUCCCGGGCCUUGUACACA
rnacentral:rRNA from 1 species